rnacentral:lncRNA from 1 species
CAGAAUCUGGUGAAAAAAUCUUCUAGGAGCAGCUAACAAGAAUCCUAAUACAGGAGUGUUUAUGGUUGGGUUGAGACACAUUCAGUAGCUGAGUGAUUGACAGCAAGAGGAGCAAGACAUGAGGUAGAUUUGUAUUAUAUUCUCAGUGAAACGGGAUAGCUUUAGAAGCUUUUUAAUAAAAAGGAUAUAUGAUCUAAAUUUCCUACUGUUAAUAAUUAUCAAAUAUAUGGCAAUGCUGGACUUUAGCUGAUCAUCGUGCUUCUGGAAAACAACAAAAAUUGAGAUAUCUGUUCACCACUUUGUGUGUCCAAGGACCACCUACUUUUUACAUGUGACAAGAACUACCCACCUCCACUCUUCAGAACAUGCUGAAGAAAAGAGUUGCAAUGAGAAAAUAUAUGGGAACAAAAUACCUAUGCAAUGCAGAAGUCUGCAUAACUGAACCACUCAGAGGAAAAAGUUUCCCUCCCAGGCUGGAGUACAAUGGCGCGACCUCGGCUCACUGCAACUUCCACCUCCCAGUUCAAGCAAUUCUCCCACCUCAGCUUCCUUAGUAGCUGGGAUUACAAGUGCCUGACACCAGGCCAAGCUAUUUUUGUAUUUUUAGUAGAGACGGGGUUUCACCAUUUUGACCAGGCUGGUCUCAAACUCCUGACCUCAGUCCAUCGGUCCACCUCGGCCUCCCAAAGUGCUGGGAUUGCAGGCAUGAGCCACCGCUCCUGGCCUCAAGUUUAAUUCUUAAAUUGCCAUUUCAGGACACCUCCUACAUCUGAGGAAAUAUGCAUUGAUCUUGCAGUACUUUUCUCCUCCAAAUAAAAGUCAGUAUGAUAACAACUACACUAUCAGAAGUCUAAGCCAAAGGACACUUCAGUUAUCCAAUCUUGCAACAAAUACAUUUAAGCACUUAAUAUGGGCUACUGUUGGUACUAGGGGC